rnacentral:lncRNA from 1 species
CUUCGACAACUGCUCCCCAGGUUUGGGGUGGGGAGCGGACACGGGGAGUUUUGGGGGGGGACACACACCUAGGAGGUUUGGGGGUGGGGGGGGACACCACAUCUCUGCCGUGACCCCCCCCGUCCCCGCAGGUGACGAGCUCAACCAGAGGCACCAUCUCUUCGAGGUCUACCAGGACCCCUGCCGCCGGGGGCCGGGGCAGGAGCAGCCCUGGGCCAUGGGGACCCUGCUCAACUACCUGAAGAUCUACGAGGAGCCCGUGUCCACCCCCGAGAGGAUGAGGAGGACGCUCUCCCAGCCGGGGGGGCGGCAGCAGUACCUGGCGGGCCCCAUCCUGGCCAGUGGCCGUCCCGCCCCGCUGGCCCCCGGCCCCUGGCACGGCCGGCGCGUGGACUACCUCCUGUUCCGGCAGCACCGCGGGGCGCCCCCCCUGCGCACGGUGAGUGCCGGGGGGCAGGACGGGGGGCCCCGUGUGUGUGUCCCCCCUCCCCGUGUCCCCACACCCCCAGCCCUGACGGCCCCCCCUCCCCGCAGGAGGUGGCGGGGGUCUCCUUCAUCACCCAGCUGGCCACCUUCUCCGACCACUUGCCCGUGGCCCUGCGGCUCGACGUGGCCCCG